rnacentral:rRNA from 1 species
CAAAAACAUGUCCUGUUGAAUGUUUAUAUUAGGUCUAGCCUGCCCACUGAUAGAUUUAUUGAAGGGCCGCAGUAAUUUGACUGUGCGAAGGUAGCAUAAUCAUUUGUCUAUUAAUUGUAGGCUUGUAUGAAUGGUUUGAUGAGAUAUUAACUUUCUUUAUAUAAGAAAAUGAAUUUAAUUUUUAAGUUAAAAAGCUUAAAUGAAGUUGGAGGACGAGAAGACCCUAUAGAAUUUUAUUAUUUCUUAUUUUAUCUUUUUUUGGAUUUAUUAAUGAUUAAAAUAUAGAAUAAUAAAUAAUUGUGUUGGGGCGACAUGGAAAUAUUAUUAACUUUCUAUAUAUCUUAUUUAUUUAUGUAUAUUUUAAGGAUCCUAUACUUUGGGAUUAUAAGAUUAAAUUACCUUAGGGAUAACAGCGUAAU